ACGGUGCAGCGGCCUCCUGGAGAGGCGGCACCCCUGCCCUGAGUGGCCCUGGGUGAGUCACUCUGCCUGGGGCUGAUCCCGACCCACUCCCCGCUCCCUCUGUGCCCCCAGUCGUGACCUGCCUGCGUCUGUCCAGUGACCCACCUGGGCGCCCCGGCGCACUCCUGCAGGCGCCUGGCCCGGGCAGGAGGGCAAGUCCAUCCGCGGGUCCCCGCCAGGACGCCUCCUCAGUGGGCUGCGCCGGAGGCUUCGUUUCAGGGUGUGAUGGCCCCUCGAUUAAGAGCUCUAGGAAACGCUGCCACGAAUGGUGCCUGGGAGCCGCUGUCAAGCUGCCUCUGCGAUCAUGGGGUCUGAGAAGAGAUUCUUCGGGAUCAGGCUUCGGGCCUCAUUUCGUUUAUUAGUUCCAACAGGAGGUUGUUCAUUUGGUGGCAUCUCUGGGGUUUUGUCCGUGUAAGAUAAUGUCAUCCGCAAACAGAGAUUUUACUUCCCCCUUUCUAAUUUGGACACCUGUUCUUUCCUUCUUGCCUGACUGCGCUGGCUGAUGUCUGGCCUUUGAAGCAGCUGGGGAGCAGUACUCUUGUAUUCUUCAGAAAGAGGAGAGGAGAGAGAAACCCAACGGGAACUGGGUGACGAUUGAAUUCAGUAGUGAGAUGCCCGGAGGACGCAGCUGAUUCACCUGAGUGAGUCAGCCAGUGGUCUGAGUCUUGCGAAAGCAUAAGUGAAUGUAUGUGUGUAGUUGAAUGCGCAUGCCAGGAAGAAAACAUUUAUUUGGACAAAGGGAAAGCUGACUUACGCCUUAGUGAAAGCUCUCUUCUCAGCCUCUGAGUGGCACCAACGGCAUAAUGACCAGCAUCCAGCAAGCACCUACUGAGUGACCCUGGCGAGCCAGGCCGACCUGACUCCUGAAACUGACACUACAGGGAGGCCAGUUUGUCUCCCUUCUGUCCCUCAAGGAUGGGUGGUGAAAACGGAAGAGCUGAAUACCAUACUGCCACAGUGCUCUUGUGAAUAAUGCUGCUAGGAACAUGGGUGUGCAACCAUCUCUUCAGGAUCCUGCUUUCAAUCCUUUUGGAUCUCGAGUGGAACGAGAAACAGCUUUGCCACAGCGGGUCCUACCAGGAUCCUCAUAAUCCACUCCUUGGGAAACCAGCACCAUCAAAGACCUGUCAUUGUGGAAGCACUAUCUGCCCCCCAGGGGACGGAUCUGUGAUUCGGAGGAGCAGCAGGGGCUGACUCUCAGCUCCAGCCUGGCCAACACCAGGAGCUCCUCCUCCUGAAUCCCUUUCUUUAUCCGCCUGUUUCACCUCCUGAGUCCCCAGCAACUGCACAAACGUCUACACUGCAUGGCGACUUCAGGCAUUAGUUCUUUGACAGUUUAACCAACAGCCCUCAACGUGGAGGAUUCA
rnacentral:lncRNA from 1 species